rnacentral:rRNA from 1 species
GAACGAUGAUGCCUAGCUUGCUGGGUUGAUUAGUGGCGAACGGGUGAGUAACACGUGAGUAACCUGCCCCAGACUCUGGGAUAACUCCGGGAAACCGGGGCUAAUACUGGAUAUCACUUCCUGGUGCAUGCCGGGUUGUUGAAAGGGUUUCUGGUCUGGGAUGGGCUCGCGGCCUAUCAGCUUGUUGGUGGGGUGAUGGCCUACCAAGGCGAUGACGGGUAGCCGGCCUGAGAGGGUGACCGGCCACACUGGGACUGAGACACGGCCCAGACUCCUACGGGAGGCAGCAGUGGGGAAUAUUGCACAAUGGGCGCAAGCCUGAUGCAGCGACGCCGCGUGAGGGAUGACGGCCUUCGGGUUGUAAACCUCUUUCAGUAGGGAAGAAGCCACUUGUGGUGACGGUACCUGCAGAAGAAGCGCCGGCUAACUACGUGCCAGCAGCCGCGGUAAUACGUAGGGCGCAAGCGUUGUCCGGAAUUAUUGGGCGUAAA